rnacentral:lncRNA from 1 species
GAAAUGGGGAAAAAGUAUGACAAUAAAAUUGUACCAGAAUAAGAGUAGAAUUGUCAUAGAGACAUAGACCAUUGUUACAACUCUAAAAUUAGGGAUAUAAUCAUAAUAGAAACCUCACAUUCUAACUUAAUUUAGACUCUCCAAGAAGAAUUGCAGAUGCUUUCACCCCACAAAGCACGUUGCCUUGACAAAUACUCAGGAGUUGUUUGCCUGCUAACCAUGACAACACACGGCUGGUGGAAAGACAACAUGCAUGCUGUUGACAGCACUGCGACAACACGAAGAUGGUCUUUAGAGGGAAAACAGUUCCUAGUUAUGGCAAUGCUGUUCAGAAACAAAGGAAUGCAUAUAGAAGAUAACAACAUUAGAUGCUGUAAUUUAUUUUCUCUGCAGAAAGUACAGCAGAGACUAUUCCCAUCAACUUUGCAUGCAGUACAGAAUGUUUCUGGCAUCAGCUGUCUUCUCCAUUGCUCACCAGUCUGGUGCUGCCCCUCGUGA